rnacentral:lncRNA from 1 species
UUCUCCACUGCCUGCUCCUCAGUGGCUUCUGCCCUCCCCAGAGCUGGUGCUCCUUACUGCCUGAUCAAGCAUAUUUGUGUAUGUACCUGCCUACCUACAUAGAAGAAUGAUACCAUUCUCAUGAAAAUGCCACUGGAUAUUGUGGUGAGAUGCAUCUUCCCAAGAUCUAUAGAUGUGCAUGUAGGAGACAGCAUCAUGCUGCCAGUCACUGCUGUACACGGAACAUAUAGGAGCGCUUGCUUCAGCUCCAACUGGAUAAGGAGCGCUUAACAAGUGCAAGGCAGGGAGGAUCCUUGUGUUUUGGAUUUUUCCCAGACAGGGAAAGUGUUAAAUAUGCUUCAUUUUUUCCUCUCUUGCUGUUUUGGGAAAUGCGUUCUGCCUGACUUAAUCUGUUCCUUCUAUUAUCUACUUCCUAUGUAUUCUUUGCUGAUACUGAGACCCCGGUAUACUGGCUGCUGAAGGAAGAUGGAAGGUAGAGAAAAU